rnacentral:rRNA from 1 species
GGAAUAUUGCACACUGGGGGAAACCCUGAUGCAGCCAUGCCGCGUGUGUGAAGAAGGCUUUCGGGUUGUAAAGCACUUUCAGCGAGGAGGAAGGCUUGUCGGUUAAUAUCCGGCAAGAUUGACGUUACUCGCAGAAGAAGCACCGGCUAACUCCGUCCCAGCAGCCGCGGUAAUACGGAGGGUGCAAGCGUUAAUCGGAAUUACUGGGCGUAAAGCGCACGUAGGCGGUUUGUUAAGCUAGCUGUGAAAGCCCCGGGCUCAACCUGGGAACUGCAGUUAGAACUGGCAAGCUAGAGUACAGUAGAGGGGUGUGGAAUUUCAGGUGUAGCGGUAAAAUGCGUAGAUAUCUGAAGGAACAUCAGUGGCGAAGGCUACACCCUGGACUGAUACUGACGCUGAGGUGCGAAAGCGUGGGGAGCAAA